rnacentral:rRNA from 1 species
CAGUAGCCACGGUAAUACAAAGGGUGCAAGCGUUACUCGGAAUUACUGGGCGUAAAGCGUGCGUAGGUGGUGGUUUAAGUCCGUUGUGAAAGCCUUGGGCUCAACCUGGGAAUUGCAGUGGAUACUGGGUCACUAGAGUGUGGUAGAGGAUAGUGGAAUUUCCGGUGUAGCAGUGAAAUGCGUAGAGAUCGGAAGGAACAUCUGUGGCGAAGGCGACUAUCUGGGCCAACACUGACACUGAGGCACGAAAGCGUGGGGAGCAAACAGGAUUAGAUACCCCAGUAGUCCCUGUCUCUUAUAC